CAGGCGCUGAGCUGCCCCUUGCGAGCUCUGUGUUGUCCCCGCCUAGCACACAAUGAACUCUCUGCUCCUCCCCGUGCUCCUCCUGGCUCUGGCCCCGGGUGUCCUGUCCCAGCUCCAGCUCCAGGAGUCCGGCCCGGGGGUGGUGAAGCCUGGAGAGACGCUCACACUCACCUGCACUGUCACCGGGGGCACCGUCACCAGCAGCUACUGGUGGAACUGGAUACGCCAGGCUCCGGGCCAAGGGCUGGAGUGGAUGGGACUAUGGACCGGGAGCACAAGCUACGCCCCGUCUCUCCAAGGCCGAAUCACCAUCUCCGUGGAUUCUUCCAACACCAAAUACUAUCUGCGGCUGAGCUCGCUGACAGCUACAGACACCGGCACCUAUUACUGCGCCAGAGACACAGUGACACAGAGCAGAGCAGGGACCAUACAAAAAGGGGAAGCAGAUUCUAAGCAAAGCAGUGAGGCCAGUUCAGCCGGGAGUGCUGAGUGCAGACCCCAUCCCCUGCACACAGACUGUGUGUGUGUUUGUGCAUGUGCCUGUACGUGUGUAUCUGUGUGUGUGUCUGUCUGUGUGUGUUUUCCUUUUGGGAUCAUAUUGGCUGAUGUUCUCCCAGCAGAAUAUUUCGUCGCCCGCACUGCAGCUCCUGUUCCAGUGGGUAAAUCGGCACCAAAGAGUCGAGACGUCUGUGUUGUCAUCAAAUCUCUCUGACCUUUACC